CCUACGGGAGGCAGCAGUGAGGAAUCUUCGGCAAUGGACGAGAGUCUGAACCAGCCAAGUAGCGUGAAGGAUGACUGCCCUAUGGGUUGUAAACUUCGUUUAUAAAGGAAUAAAACGAGGCACGUGUGCCUUUUUGCAUUGACUUUAUGAAUAAGGAUCGGCUAACUCCGUGCCAGCAGCCGCGGUAAUACGGAGGAUCCGAGCGUUAUCCGGAUUUAUUGGGUUGAAAGGGAGCGUAGGUGGGUUGUUAAGUCAGUUGUGAAAGUUUGCGGCACAACCGUAAAAUUGCAAUGGAUACUGGCAGUCUUGAGUACAGUUGAGGUAGGCGGAAUUCGUGGUGUAGCGGUGAAAUGCUUAGAUAUCACGAAGAACCCCGAUUGCGAAGGCAGCUUACUAAACUGUGACUGACAUUGAUGCGCGAAAGUGUGGGGAUCAAACAGGAUUAGAUACCCGGGUAGUC
rnacentral:rRNA from 1 species